ACAGCACUUCACCUCCCAAGACAUUUUGGAUUUGUGCUGCCAAGAAGAUAAGGAGGAGGCAUUGAAAGUACUCAACGGACACAAAUGGAAAGGACAAGUGCUCAAAGCCAAGCUUGCCAAGCCAGUUGAGGACCCGGACACUAAGAGCCUCGCUCUGAAGAGAAGCCAAGAGGAAUCUGAUGAAAACACCAAAGAAGCUAAGAGGAGGAAGGAGGAGGACAGCUGACCAGUAGAAGAGAGGUUAAACAACAUGGUGACUCCACUGUGGAACCAGCCGUAUGAGGACCAGCUAUCCACCAAACAGACCAACACCAGGGAGUUUCUGAGGAAUUAUCCAAGAUGCUGCAAUGGAACAUUGGGGAGAUGUCUCCCUGGCUGAAGCAACAAAGGAAGAACCACAGUGGGAUGGCAUGUGAGUUGCAGCCAAUUAAGCCAUCGCCAGUAUUAGAGAGUUAUCGCAACAAGUGUGAGUUUACCAUCAGAAAGAGUGUCUAUGGCAUCG